GAAAGAAUUGCGCAACCGGGUCAUCCCGUAUGUGAAAGUGCAGUGGAGCCAUCACGAGGAGCGGGAGGCGACUUGGGAGCCUGAGACGGUGAUGAGGGAAGCCUAUCCCUAUUUGUUUGAUGCCUGAGCAGAGGUACGUUUCAGUUUCACGGACGAAACUUUUUAUAGAGGGGGAGGAUGUGAGAUCCCUAGUGUUCAGC
rnacentral:lncRNA from 1 species